rnacentral:rRNA from 1 species
CGAACGCUGGCGGCGUGACUUAACACAUGCAAGUCGAGCGAUGAAGUUUCUUCGGAAAUGGAUUAGCGGCGAACGGGUGAGGAACACGUGAAGAAUCUGCCCUCCACUUUGGGAUAACACUGGGAAACCGGUGCUAAAACCGGAUACUCCGUCUUGGCGGCAUCGCCGAGCCGGGAAAAAAUUUUGAUGAAAGAUGGUCUCGCGGCCUAUCAGCUAGUUGGUGAGGUAAUGGCUCACCAAGGCGACGACGGGUAGCCGGCCUGAGAGGGCGACCGGUCCACACUGGGACUGAGACACGGCCCAGACUCCUACGGGAGGCAGCAGUAGGGAUAUUGGGCAAUGGGCGAAAGCCUGACCCAGCGACGCCGCGUGAGGGAUGAAGGUCUUCGGAUUGUAAACCUCUUUCAGUUAGGGAAGAAGCGAAAGUGACGGUACCUAAAGAAGAAGCACCGGGCUAACUAUGUGCCAGCAGCCGCGGUAAUCUGAUG